ACGCACGCUGGCGGCGUGCUUAGCACCUGCCAGUCGAACGGAAAGGCCCUGCUUUUGUGGGGUGCUCGAGUGGCGAACGGGUGAGUAACACGUGAGUAACCUGCCCUUGACUUUGGGAUAACUUCAGGAAACUGGGGCUAAUACCGGAUAGGAGCUCCUGCUGCAUGGUGGGGGUUGGAAAGUUUCGGCGGUUGGGGAUGGACUCGCGGCUUAUCAGCUUGUUGGUGGGGUAGUGGCUUACCAAGGCUUUGACGGGUAGCCGGCCUGAGAGGGUGACCGGCCACAUUGGGACUGAGAUACGGCCCAGACUCCUACGGGAGGCAGCAGUGGGGAAUAUUGCACAAUGGGCGGAAGCCUGAUGCAGCAACGCCGCGUGCGGGAUGACGGCCUUCGGGUUGUAAACCGCUUUCGCCUGUGACGAAGCGUGAGUGACGGUAAUGGGUAAAGAAGCACCGGCUAACUACGUG
rnacentral:rRNA from 1 species